AGAGUUUGAUCCUGGCUCAGAUUGAACGCUGGCGGCAGGCUUAACACAUGCAAGUCGAACGGGCGUCGCAAGACGUCAGUGGCAGACGGGUGAGUAACGCGUGGGAACAUACCCUCCGGUUCGGAAUAACCCAGGGAAACUUGGGCUAAUACCGGAUACGGCUGAGAGGCGAAAGAUUUAUCGCCGGAGGAUUGGCCCGC
rnacentral:rRNA from 1 species